rnacentral:rRNA from 1 species
UACGAAGGGUGCAAACGUUACUCGGAAUUAUUGGGCGUAAAGCGCACGUAGGCGGUAUUGCAAGUCGGAUGUGAAAUCCCUCGGCUUAACCAAGGAAGUGCAUCCGAAACUGCUGUACUUGAGUACGAAAGAGGAUCGCGGAAUUCCCGGUGUAGAGGUGAAAUGCGUAGAUAUCGGGAGGAACACCUGAGGCGAAAGCGGCUCUCUGGACCACAACUGACGCUGAGGCGCGAAAGCUAGGGGAGCAAACAGG